rnacentral:rRNA from 1 species
UACGUAGGGGGCAAGCGUUGUCCGGAUUUAUUGGGUUUAAAGGGUGCGUAGGCGGCUUUGUAAGUCAGUGGUGAAAUAUGGCAGCUCAACUGUCAGGGUGCCAUUGAUACUGCAGAGCUUGAGUACAGAUGAGGUAGGUGGAAUUGACGGUGUAGCGGUGAAAUGCUUAGAUAUCGUCAAGAACACCUAUAGCGAAGGCAGCUUACUAGGCUGUAACUGACGCUGAGGCACGAAAGUGUGGGGAUCAAACAGG